rnacentral:lncRNA from 1 species
GGAAGCAUUGUCAUUACACACUUACAGUUGGAUGGUAGACCAGGGUUUACACUUGGCAUUGUGAUUGUCAUUAAUUUUCUGCAUUGUUGUGUCCUUUCAGAAGCAGGAUGAAGGUGUGGUACUGUUGGACCUGGUAUGUGACCACCUGGGCCUGCUGGAGAGGCAGCUCUUCAGUCUGCAGCUCAGAGACUCCAGCGCGGCCAUCGCCUCCAUCGCAGCCAACACACACUCUCCUAGGUGGUUGGAGCCAGAAAAGCCCCUGAAGAAGCAGAUGAAAGGCCUUGUGUCGCCCUUCUAUCUGAACUUCAGGGUACGAUUCUUCAUCUCUGACCCCAACUCUCUGCAGCAUGAACAGACAAGGUGAACAUGUGUGCUUUAGCAUCUUGUGGAUUUUGAUAGUUAUUUUUUAUAGUUAAUUUUUAAAGGAG